AUGAUGGCUGCAUAAGUUUCACAAGAAGUAAGGUCCAGCUGAAUAAUGGGUGAGCUUGAAAACACCAUGACAGAGGACGUGAAACAAAACAAAAGAGAGAGAGAGAGACUAGAUUCUACUGUAGACAUACUGGGUUGAGUUUGGGGGUUAUUUGUUUUAUUUGAUAAUGUAUCAUGUGAAUAAGGAUAUAUGUUAGGGUAGUUGUACUCUAAACCACAUGUUGAAGGCUCAAUGUGGAAGCCCAUUCCGUGUUGAAUUACUUUAAGAAGCAAUAAUGUUGAUUAAGGUUAUGCACAUGUUUAUCAGUUGAAACAGAGCAGAUGGGGAACUAAGUAAAAAAUGACAUGGUUUGGGAACACCUCUCAGAACCUGCGGCCGAAAGGGGAAGACUGGAUGAAAGCACGAGGAAGCCAAUUAGGGCCUCCAUUUUUGUGGAGUCCAGCAGAAAAGUAUCCUGGAGGCAUAGAGUCAGUCUUAUGUUUAGGAAACCAGAUGGAGAAGGGUUCUCCAGCUUCAGCUGGAAUGUCAGUUUGUGUGAUGAGUGAUGGAAGUAAGAGAAUGUAUGGUGUAAUCAUAGAACAGAGGCCAUAAGUCUCUAAGUAUGAAUGCCCCAUAGAAAGAAGGCAGAAAUCUGAACCAGGAUGAGAGGUUCCACAUCUGAUGAUCCAAGGGGACCAGAAGGAUCUCUCCCAGUGAUACCAGGAGAUCGAGUCUACGUUUGAGUGUUCCGAAGGAAGUGGGAUCAGCCGAGGAGGGAAGGACCCUACGAGGUGGCAACAGCCACAAACACGGCCGUCCAAGUGAAAGGAAGCAAGACGUGGUAUCAUCUAAACCACUGCACCCGGAGAGAAGGACACAACCAUACAGAGAUGAGGACACAGAGGAUGCUGAUUCACCAGAAGGGACCCCGGAGGGAGCAGGAGCAGCGGAAUCGAUCAAAGCGCCGGGGAGGAAUCAAGAAAAUGGCAGACCAGAUACAACGAGUGCAUCGGCUAACACACUCAGAAGAACCGACCAGGGAAAAAGAGCCUGAAAAGAAAAGAGACAAACAACCAAAGUUUCCUCCAGUAUGGCCAGAAAGCCCAGAAGUGGGAGGGGGUAACAUGUCUGCCACUCCUGAUGAUAUACUUGUUGGGGCAGACUCUGUUGACGGAAGCCUUCUACAGUGGGACCCCGAGGUAUCGCCUAAAGAAGGGGAACAUCUCUUCCCUGAAAUGGACGCCUUCCCAGAUGGAAGCCCAGUUCGGGCUGAGGAGGGAACAACAGGCGAAGAGAGUGGAGGAGAAGCCUUAUCAGGAACAACAAGUGAAGAAAGCAGAGGAGAAGCCUUACCAAGAGCAGAAGGAGAAAUCUUGCAAGAUGAAAGAAAUGGGGAUUUCCCCAAAAUUGACUUUUCAGCUCUUGAAUUGUCUCCAUAAUGAACAAUUGAAGUUAGACCCAUAGAAGAACAAUGAUAUUGACAUAACAGAAGUAACAGUGAACGCUAGAAUAGCAACAACAGACUCACGCACAAUCAAGAUGUAGGGUGGAAACAGGAAGAGAAGAGAGGAACCAGUCAAACAAUCUAAAAAGACUGACAAGGUUAGAAUCUCUGUCCCACCUCAACAUAUAACUGAAACAGAAGAAUAGAAGACAAAAGGAUCAAACCCUUACCGGAGAUUGCAUUCGGUGGAUGGACAUAUCAUCGAACGAAGAGAGAAGUUAUUUGGGACUCAAAAGGAUGUGACCUGACGUUAACCAAAGAAGUAGACGAGUGGGUGCUCACCAGGAAUCAGAUUGAACCAGUUGAAGGUGAAGAAUUAAUAGGUGAAAUAAUGAGAACAAGAUUGACUGAAGGGAGUAGUUCCUCAGUCAUUCAGAAUUGGUCUUACGCCAAUACCUAAACAGGAAGAGCCUGCGGUAGCUAGAAAGCAUCAGAACCAGGAGGGUUCUUUACUGACAUUUUGAACUUUUUGACUAACUUUAAUGACCUACCUCAAGAUAAGAACAUUGCAAAGAUGACAGACACAGACAUACCAGACUCUGAACCACUCAAGGACACCACAUGAAAUGAAUAGUGAAGAAUGAGUGGUACGAUUAGGCUAAGUAUACAGCAGAAAUAAACAUAGGAGGGACAAUUGUAUUUUGUGUAGAAAAUCACCUUUGUCUGAUCUUUUGAUAGUACCUGAACCUGCAUCAUUUGAAGAAUGUGUUAAAUGUAAAAUGUUCAAUAUUCAGAGAAAAUACUACAUUCCCUUGUGUGACCUGGAAGGGGGGUUAUUGGCUCUGGGUAUUGUAUUUUGUUGUGUUUUACCCUGGGUGAAAUCACUUGUGAUCCAGACAACGGUUAAACAGAUGUUUGUAAGUAGAGCUGACACUCCGGUGAUAGUUGAUCCUGUGCCGGGUAGGCCAGGCCACUAUACUGAUGAAAAUGGACAGUUAUGCUGUCCUUCCAAAUUCAUAAGAAAGUCAACUGAUGCAUAUCCACAAAAAGGGUCAUUUCCGUAGUAAGUACAAGAGGUGUUAUGUAAGGUCUACUUUUGCUCACGGCCUUGUGUUUUAGUAUGUUUUGUCAAAUGUUUUUAUAGGUAUAUCAAUGAAUAUAUCUGGUUUCUUUUAAUUAAAAGUUAGUUUUGCCUUCUAAAAUGCUAGGUUAUAUUUAAAAACAUGUAGGUAACAGUGGGAUAUCCCAGUUACAAGUGUCUACGGACCAUGUCCUUAAUCUUCUAACAGAGGUUGGUAUUGAUGGUAUCACGGUUGUUGGAGAGGUGUCUGAGAGGGAGAAUCAUGUGGAAAGCUUAAAUUUAGAAUGAUGUGUCAAUUUUAUUUUGUAACUGCAUGGAGGCCUAGUGUUUUCUCAUAUUCAAUUUAUUAUUUGACUCAUUGCUUUAUUAUAUAUAUUUUUCUUUUUCGCGUAGCUGAGAACCUCAGACAAGGUUAUGUAUUUACAUGCUCAUGCUUUAACAAAAGAUAAUGUAUUAUUUUUUGUUUCUAUACCGAACUAGAUAUUUUACUCUUAUGAAAUACUAGAGAUGUUUGGUGUAGGUGAUUAGGAAGUUUUAUUUUUUAAUUAUUUUUUGUUUUUUUAUUUAAAAAUAUUUUUUUUGAUAAUCGACUGUUGAUAUUAUGUUCCAUAUAUGUCCUUUUUAAGUUUUUGGUGCUUAUUAAAGCACCAGAGGGGGGUUAUGUGGGAGAAAUUAGGUACAUAUAUGGAUAAAUAUAUUGUCCUAUAUAAUGGCAUUUGCCAUUCUGGUAAGGUACAUUGUCUAUUGUAUAGGACAGGAAGCCAGAGUGGGGCCAUGGGAGAGGGCAACACCUAGGGCAGCUGGACAUACAAAGGUCAGAGGUUAUCUAAGGAGGGGGUCAGCCAAAGGACCAAUUGAUGGAUUACAGACAUCAAUCACAUCACAGGAGACAAGUCUGUUUGAUCUUAGACAACCAUAUGAAGAGAAGGCGACCAGAACAGCUAGGCACCCUAAAGCUAAAGGAGAUGAAAGACACCAAAAGGGACACAUGGAGUUAAUUACAGGGUAUGAACACAGGCCACAGGAAAGGGGAAUGUAUAGUAUUUUUAGUAUAGCUGAGCAUGCUAAAAACAGAAGAGACACAUAGUCUGCUGACCCUAGAUAACACACAAACAGGAGAACGCAUUAAGCUGAGUGAAGGGUCAAAGCAAGGGUCUUGUCACCAUUAGGAUCUAAUGGAAAGCAGAUGGGGGCGUUAUUGGGCUGAACAAGCAGGAAGCACGGAUUGGGAUGUAACUUAAUUUGCAUAUGGGAGGGACUUAUAUGGUAGGUGUAUAACUCAGAGCGAGGGCUCUGAAAAAGUGUGUGUGUUCCGCGGACCGCUCCGGCUUAUGAUACUGUUGUAUUAAAAGUCUAUAUUGAUUUUCACAAA